GUUGCUAGGCAGUUGCUAACGUUUUCCAGGUGGUUGCUAAGUGGUUGCUAGGCAGUUGCUAAUGUUUUCCAGGUGGUUGCUAAGGUGUAUCUAACUGGUUCCUAGGCAGUAGUAGAUAAAAAGAAAGAGUGUUAAAUGUAGAAGUACAGAAAAAGGGAGAGCCUGAAAUAGAGAAGUAGAGAGAAAAUCAGCGUGAGAAGUAGAGAAAGAACACCCGAGAAUGUGAGAAAAAGAGUGACAAGUAGAGAGAAAUAUUGAACGAGAGAAAGAGAAUUAGGGAAAAAGAGAGAUCGAGAAAUAAAGAAGUAGAGAAAGAAAAAGGAUGUAGUAGAGAGAUAGAUAGAAAGAGAAAGCAAGACAGAAAAGUAGAGUGAAAGAGAAGUAGAGAGAAGAGCGAGAAAUAAAGAGAGAGUAAGAGAGAAAUAGAGAAAUAGAAAAGUAGAAAGAAAGAGACAUAGAAAAGUAGAGAGAGUGAGAAAGAGAGAGUGAGAAAUAGAGAAGUAGAGAGAGAGUGAGAAAGAGAGAGUGAGAAAUAGAGAAGUAGAGAGAGUGAGAAAUAGAGACGUAGAGAGAGAGUGAGAAAGAGAGUGAGAAAUAGAGAAGUAGAGAGAGAGUGAGAAAUAGAGACGUAGAGAGAGAGUGAAAAAGAGAGUGAGAAAUAUAGAAGUAGAGAGAGUGAGAAAUAAAGAGAAAUAGAGACGUAGAGAGAAAGUGAAAAGGAGAGUGAGAAAUAUAGAAGUAGAGAGAGUGAGAAAUAUAGAAGUAGAGAGAGAGAGUGAGAAAUAGAGACGUAGAGAGAGAGUGAGAAAUAGAGACGUAGAGAGAGUGAGAAAUAGAGACGUAGAAAAGAGUGAGAAAGAGAGAG